rnacentral:rRNA from 1 species
GGGUUGUGAGGUUAAGCGACUAAGCGUACACGGUGGAUGCCCUGGCAGUCAGAGGCGAUGAAGGACGUGCUAAUCUGCGAUAAGCGUCGGUGAGGUGAUAUGAACCGUUAUAACCGGCGAUUUCCGAAUGGGGAAACCCAGUGUGUUUCGACACACUAUCAUUAACUGAAUCCAUAGGUUAAUGAGGCGAACCGGGGGAACUGAAACAUCUAAGUACCCCGAGGAAAAGAAAUCAACCGAGAUUCCCCCAGUAGCGGCGAGCGAACGGGGAGGAGCCCAGAGCCUGAAUCAGUGUGUGUGUUAGUGGAAGCGUCUGGAAAGGCGCGCGAUACAGGGUGACAGCCCCGUACACAAAAAUGCACAUAUUGUGAGCUCGAUGAGUAGGGCGGGACACGUGGUAUCCUGUCUGAAUAUGGGGGGACCAUCCUCCAAGGCUAAAUACUCCUGACUGACCGAUAGUGAACCAGUACCGUGAGGGAAAGGCGAAAAGAACCCCGGCGAGGGGAGUGAAAAAGAACCUGAAACCGUGUACGUACAAGCAGUGGGAGCCUCUUAAUGGGGUGACUGCGUACCUUUUGUAUAAUGGGUCAGCGACUUAUAUUCUGUAGCAAGGUUAACCGAAUAGGGGAGCCGAAGGGAAACCGAGUCUUAACUGGGCGUUAAGUUGCAGGGUAUAGACCCGAAACCCGGUGAUCUAGCCAUGGGCAGGUUGAAGGUUGGGUAACACUAACUGGAGGACCGAACCGACUAAUGUUGAAAAAUUAGCGGAUGACUUGUGGCUGGGGGUGAAAGGCCAAUCAAACCGGGAGAUAGCUGGUUCUCCCCGAAAGCUAUUUAGGUAGCGCCUCGUGAAUUCAUCUCCGGGGGUAGAGCACUGUUUCGGCAAGGGGGUCAUCCCGACUUACCAACCCGAUGCAAACUGCGAAUACCGGAGAAUGUUAUCACGGGAGACACACGGCGGGUGCUAACGUCCGUCGUGAAGAGGGAAACAACCCAGACCGCCAGCUAAGGUCCCAAAGUCAUGGUUAAGUGGGAAACGAUGUGGGAAGGCCCAGACAGCCAGGAUGUUGGCUUAGAAGCAGCCAUCAUUUAAAGAAAGCGUAAUAGCUCACUGGUCGAGUCGGCCUGCGCGGAAGAUGUAACGGGGCUAAACCAUGCACCGAAGCUGCGGCAGCGACACUAUGUGUUGUUGGGUAGGGGAGCGUUCUGUAAGCCUGUGAAGGUGGCCUGUGAGGGUUGCUGGAGGUAUCAGAAGUGCGAAUGCUGACAUAAGUAACGAUAAAGCGGGUGAAAAGCCCGCUCGCCGGAAGACCAAGGGUUCCUGUCCAACGUUAAUCGGGGCAGGGUGAGUCGACCCCUAAGGCGAGGCCGAAAGGCGUAGUCGAUGGGAAACAGGUUAAUAUUCCUGUACUUGGUGUUACUGCGAAGGGGGGACGGAGAAGGCUAUGUUGGCCGGGCGACGGUUGUCCCGGUUUAAGCGUGUAGGCUGGUUUUCCAGGCAAAUCCGGAAAACCAAGGCUGAGGCGUGAUGACGAGGCACUACGGUGCUGAAGCGACAAAUGCCCUGCUUCCAGGAAAAGCCUCUAAGCAUCAGGUAACAUCAAAUCGUACCCCAAACCGACACAGGUGGUCAGGUAGAGAAUACCAAGGCGCUUGAGAGAACUCGGGUGAAGGAACUAGGCAAAAUGGUGCCGUAACUUCGGGAGAAGGCACGCUGAUAUGUAGGUGAAGCGACUUGCUCGUGGAGCUGAAAUCAGUCGAAGAUACCAGCUGGCUGCAACUGUUUAUUAAAAACACAGCACUGUGCAAACACGAAAGUGGACGUAUACGGUGUGACGCCUGCCCGGUGCCGGAAGGUUAAUUGAUGGGGUUAGCGGUAACGCGAAGCUCUUGAUCGAAGCCCCGGUAAACGGCGGCCGUAACUAUAACGGUCCUAAGGUAGCGAAAUUCCUUGUCGGGUAAGUUCCGACCUGCACGAAUGGCGUAAUGAUGGCCAGGCUGUCUCCACCCGAGACUCAGUGAAAUUGAACUCGCUGUGAAGAUGCAGUGUACCCGCGGCAAGACGGAAAGACCCCGUGAACCUUUACUAUAGCUUGACACUGAACAUUGAGCCUUGAUGUGUAGGAUAGGUGGGAGGCUUUGAAGUGUGGACGCCAGUCUGCAUGGAGCCGGCCUUGAAAUACCACCCUUUAAUGUUUGAUGUUCUAACGUUGGCCCGUAAUCCGGGUUGCGGACAGUGUCUGGUGGGUAGUUUGACUGGGGCGGUCUCCUCCUAAAGAGUAACGGAGGAGCACGAAGGUUGGCUAAUCCUGGUCGGACAUCAGGAGGUUAGUGCAAUGGCAUAAGCCAGCUUGACUGCGAGCGUGACGGCGCGAGCAGGUGCGAAAGCAGGUCAUAGUGAUCCGGUGGUUCUGAAUGGAAGGGCCAUCGCUCAACGGAUAAAAGGUACUCCGGGGAUAACAGGCUGAUACCGCCCAAGAGUUCAUAUCGACGGCGGUGUUUGGCACCUCGAUGUCGGCUCAUCACAUCCUGGGGCUGAAGUAGGUCCCAAGGGUAUGGCUGUUCGCCAUUUAAAGUGGUACGCGAGCUGGGUUUAGAACGUCGUGAGACAGUUCGGUCCCUAUCUGCCGUGGGCGCUGGAGAACUGAGGGGGGCUGCUCCUAGUACGAGAGGACCGGAGUGGACGCAUCACUGGUGUUCGGGUUGUCAUGCCAAUGGCACUGCCCGGUAGCUAAAUGCGGAAGAGAUAAGUGCUGAAAGCAUCUAAGCACGAAACUUGCCCCGAGAUGAGUUCUCCCUGACCCUUUAAGGGUCCUGAAGGAACGUUGAAGACGACGACGUUGAUAGGCCGGGUGUGUAAGCGCAGCGAUGCGUUGAGCUAACCGGUACUAAUGAACCGUGAGGCUUAACCUUACAACGCCGAAG